rnacentral:tRNA from 1 species
GGCCGAGUGGCGGAACUGGCAGACGCACGAGAUUUAAAAUCUGGUGGGCCGAAAGGCCCGUGAGGGUUCGACCCCCUCCUCGGCCACCC